rnacentral:rRNA from 1 species
CUUCCGUAGGUGAACCUGCGGAAGGAUCAUUACCGAGUGAGGGCCCUCUGGGUCCAACCUCCCACCCGUGUUUAUCGUACCUUGUUGCUUCGGCGGGCCCGCCUCACGGCCGCCGGGGGGCAUCCGCCCCCGGGCCCGCGCCCGCCGAAGACACACAAACGAACUCUUGUCUGAAGAUUGCAGUCUGAGUACUUGACUAAAUCAGUUAAAACUUUCAACAACGGAUCUCUUGGUUCCGGCAUCGAUGAAGAACGCAGCGAAAUGCGAUAAGUAAUGUGAAUUGCAGAAUUCAGUGAAUCAUCGAGUCUUUGAACGCACAUUGCGCCCCCUGGUAUUCCGGGGGGCAUGCCUGUCCGAGCGUCAUUGCUGCCCUCAAGCACGGCUUGUGUGUUGGGCUCUCGCCCCCCGCUUCCGGGGGGCGGGCCCGAAAGGCAGCGGCGGCACCGCGUCCGGUCCUCGAGCGUAUGGGGCUUCGUCACCCGCUCUGUAGGCCCGGCCGGCGCCCGCCGGCGAACACCAUCAAUCUUAACCAGGUUGACCUCGGAUCAGGUAGGGAUACCCGCUGAACUUAAGCAUAUCAAUAAGCGGAGGAA